AUUGAACGCUGGCGGCAGGCUUAACACAUGCAAGUCGAGCGGAGAGAGGUAGCUUGCUACUGAUCUUAGCGGCGGACGGGUGAGUAAUGCUUAGGAAUCUGCCUAUUAGUGGGGGACAACAUUUCGAAAGGAAUGCUAAUACCGCAUACGUCCUACGGGAGAAAGCAGGGGAUCUUCGGACCUUGCGCUAAUAGAUGAGCCUAAGUCGGGUUAGCUAGUUGGUGGGGUAAAGGCCUACCAAGGCGACGAGCUGUAGCGGGUCUGAGAGGAUGAUCCGCUACACUGGGACUGAGACACGGCCCAGACUCCUACGGGAGGCAGCAGUGGGGAAUAUUGGACAAUGGGCGGAAGUCUGAUCCAGCCAUGCCGCGUGUGUGAAGAAGGCCUUAUGGUUGUAAAGCACUUUAAGCGAGGAGGAGGCUACUUUAGUUAAUACCUAGAGAUAGUGGACGUUACUCGCAGAAUAAGCACCGGCUAACUCUGUGCCAGCCGCCGCAGUAA
rnacentral:rRNA from 1 species